rnacentral:rRNA from 1 species
UACGAAGGGGGCUAGCGUUGCUCGGAAUCACUGGGCGUAAAGCGCACGUAGGCGGCUUACUAAGUCAGGGGUGAAAUCCUGGAGCUCAACUCCAGAACUGCCUUUGAUACUGGUGAGCUUGAGUUCGGGAGAGGUGAGUGGAACUGCGAGUGUAGAGGUGAAAUUCGUAGAUAUUCGCAAGAACACCAGUGGCGAAGGCGGCUCACUGGCUCGAUACUGACGCUGAGGUGCGAAAGCGUGGGGAGCAAACAGG